UUUCAGAGGCGUAUUGCUACAUUUGGGGCAAUGCGUACAUAUGUGGUUUCGUUAGCUCCAGCGGGGGCUAAUCCUCUGACAGAGCCACCUCUCACACGAAACACUGAAUGGAGGCGAUCCCGAGAUGGAUGGAGCAGCAGCAGCGCAGGUUGCUGCAGCUGUGCUGCCAGAGAUUGUAAUUCAGGAACCAAUCUCAAGCUGAGCAGAGGAAAAAAUGAGAUGCUUCAUGAAAAUGGCCAAAUGUCAUCACCAGCUAUUUUGUGAGAAGAGCUAUGUUAGGAGCCAUCCACAUGUAAAAUGGACUUUCACCAAAUUCCAUCCAUCUGCCGGUCAUGGAAGCUCACAACAUGUAUGUCUCCUGAGGGAGCCUUUUCGUUUUGUGCUUUUUCUGGCACUAAGAAAUACAGACACUUGUGAUUUACUACUGGGCACUUAUAGGAAUGGAGUCAACUAUUUCCUAAGAAACUCAAAGACUGAAAUGAGAAAUUCAGAAAAUAAAAAUAUUUUCUGUGUUAGAAAACUAUAUACCAGAAAGCCUGAAAAGUGAGGCAAAGGGCACGAAAUUCUGGUUAAUAAGAUGUUGUAGAUUAGUGAGAACUUGAAAAUGUUUUUGCUUCUAGUAUAUUUUUUGGAAUUUCUAAACUAUAUUAGCUCCCUUUCUUACCUUAGGAAUUACAGUAUUGUGAUCAUGUGAGAAGAUAGUUCUAAAUAUUAAUAAAUAUUUUUAACUUCAUCA
rnacentral:lncRNA from 1 species